GGCGUUGCAUGCGGGGCGCAGAGCCGCUCGCCAACCGGCUCGUGUUCGGUACCGAAAUGCGCAAUCGGCUGACAGCUGUUCGGCACCGCUGCGGCGCCGCCA
rnacentral:tRNA from 1 species